rnacentral:rRNA from 1 species
GACAGAGGAUGCAAGCGUUAUCCGGAAUGAUUGGGCGUAAAGCGUCUGUAGGUGGCUUUUUAAGUCCGCCGUCAAAUCCCAGGGCUCAACCCUGGACAGGCGGUGGAAACUACCAAGCUGGAGUACGGUAGGGGCAGAGGGAAUUUCCGGUGGAGCGGUGAAAUGCGUAGAGAUCGGAAGGAACGCCCGUGGCGAAAGCGAGGUCCUGGACGUUUACUGACGCUGAGACGCGAAAGCCAGGGGAGCGAACGGG